CCGCGACCUGGAGAGGAAGAUAUUGAUUUAAACAGGUGUCAGGGAGGGAAAGUAGAGUAAAUUUAAAUGCGACGGGAGAGCGGCACGUUGCACGCGGAACGGGGCGGGGAUGACAUUUUGCGCAUUGCCUUGAACGAAAGUGACUCAACUGGACUAGAAAUUUCACCUUGAAAAUCAUCUCCCAUCGACACAAUCAAACACCCCUACCACGACACCCCUGCAUCCCCCAAGGCAGUAGGGAGGGCUGGAGUGGCAGCAGAGGGGACUCCCAGUGUCCUCAGGCUGUAGAGGCCUGGUCUCCUGCAGUAUCCCCAGGAGGCCCUUUGGAGGGGCCAGGGGCACAGGCCCAGGGACCCGUGGCCUCCUGCCUCCUGGCCUCUGAGUCCCCCUCUGCAACCCAGGCAGGUGUUUCCUGAGGGCCCUGUGGCCUGCUGUCCCUCUGAGACCUCUGUGAGACCCAGCCAUCACCUAGCUUCUUGGGCCCUGGCAACCAGAGGUCCUCCGAGUGCACAAACGUGGCUUGAGGACAGGGCCACCCCUUUCCUGCUCCCAGCUGUCCAGGAGGAAAGGAGGAGACAGGCCUGGCUGCCAUACCCCCACCCCAGAAGUAGAGGCAGCCAGAGGGAGGAGGGCCAGGCCUGCCAGGCCCUGUGGUCUCAGCCCAAGGCUCCCCUGAGCCCCAUCCUCCUCCUGAGACUGGAGGCAAACUUGGGCCAGGUGAUGUGGUGCAGCUGUGCAUCUUGGCUUCCCCCUUGAGCUGGUCCUGGGGUGGGGGUUUUGAGCCACUUCUGGUCUACAUGACCCUGAGAACCCCAAAUGGAAAGGUCCAGGACAUGUUCUGGGUGCUCUCCUCUUCCUUUGAAGCUUCCCAAUGUGGAGAUGCUGGGGAGGCUUCUCUGUUUCCCUACCUCAGGCAGCUCUUCCUCUAUGACCCUCAGGGUGGACAAGAAGGGCCUCUGGCUGGUACUGCCCAGGCUGGACAGGUGACCUCUUCCACGUCCAGAGCUGCUGCCCCAAUAGGGCCCUGAGGGGCUGAGCACAGGCCUUCCUCGGGGCUGGACACUGACCAGGUCCUCCAGCUCCUCCUGCUGUGACAGCAGAUGUAGCCAGGUGAGGUCAGGUGUAGCCCGGCUGACCUCAGUCCACAUGCUGGGCACCAAGCCGAGUGGGGAGGCCAACCUCACCCAGCUCAUGACCAUCAGCUCCAGGGGCUGGAGGAGGAAGCAUCCACCUGUGACCCAGCCUGGCAAGAGGACGGCCACUGGUGGACAGGAAGGACCUCAGGCCUCAUGCACAGGGCCGCUCCAGGCCACCUCAAGGCAGUGCUGUAAUAGCAGGCUCCUGUCCAACCUCUGCUCCCUCAGGCCAUAAACUGCCCCUGUGGGAAGACCCCCAGCAGCAUCUCACCGCCCUGGAAGGAGACUGGCAAGCAUGUACAAUCUGUCCCUGUCCCCAGCCCCAUACCUGUCCUCCCACCUAGUCUGCUUCCCCCUAAACAAUCUUUCCCUUUCAGCCCUACGUGGCCUGUCCUUCCCUGCAACCCUAUGCAAUUGCCCACCUCCCUCUGACCAUGGUCCUCUGCUGUGGCUGGACAUUUAGGUCAGCCGGGCCACAGGGCUCUUGCCUCUGCUGCUCCCUGCUGAGAAGGCUUCUCUCAGCACUCUGCAUGGCCUCUCCUCCACUGCCUCUCCUCCACUGCCUCUGGAGGUCCUUUUUAUCCUCUGCAGUACUAGGGAUUGAACCCAGGGCCCUCACACUGAGCUAUAUCCUCAGCCAUUUUUAUUUUGAGACUCAUGAAGACUCACAGAGACUCAUGAAGUCACUCAAUCGUCCAGGCUCAAAUCCAUUAAGUCAAUGCUCCUGCCUCAGCCCUCAAGAGUGCCAAGAUUAUAGGUAGGUGUCACCAGGCCUGGCUUUCUGAGAGGUCUUUUCUGGCCAACCUGGAUAAAGCAGCUCCUUUUUCUUGUGCCUUGGCCUUAUUUCUGAUAUGACACUGAUCAGCACAGCACCUAGAACUGCCCAGGACAACCAGGUGGUACCUGCUGCCUGCUGCAUGCCAGGUAACAAGGUGUGGGGCCAGGAGCCAGUGGCACCUGGUCAGAGGCCCAGAGUCUCUUGCAAAAUUGAGCUGAUUCACCCUUUCUGAGGUUUAGUUCUGCAUCUGCAAGUGGGGGCCCAGGGUCCUCUGCCCGUCUCUCAGUGCUGCAGUAAGCCCUGAGUAGGUGGGGCUGGGAACAGGGCCUGGCCUCUCUCUUUCCACCCUUCACAGGAAGAGAACUUGAACACUGGUCUCCACGGUGACCCUGGACAGACACCGCAGCAGAAGACAGGGGCUUCCGAGGCCCCUGCACAGCACACAGGACUGGUAACCAGGGAGCUACUGGGGGGCAAGGCUUGAGGAAGACCCUCCCAUCGUGAGCAGCUUGGGUCUGGAUCCUGGAGUUCUGGGAAACAGGUGACAAGAAUCGUGGCUGUGCCGCCAGAUUUUCAUGGGACCCCAGGCAGUUCCCCAUCCUUGGGACACUCAGACGGCUCCACGGGGACAGGGACAGUUCUAGUGUUUACGGUCAUUCCCACACUCACAAAUGCAUCUGAUCCAGGCCCCAGGGACUCCUGGAAGUUGUUAUCAGGUGUCAUGUGCCUGUCACUUUCCAGGGGCAAGGCCCCCAGCUCUCACCAGGCUUCUCUAGGGGCAUCUCUCUGUUUUCCCCCCAAACAACCCCAGAAGACCCGAGGUGGGCGACCCCACUCCACACCACCUGUAAGUGGGAGCCGGGCUGCCAGCCCAUACCCCUCCAAGUAUGCUUAAUAUGGGCUGGAUUUACCACAAACACAGUUCUCCCUAGGUUUCCUGGCCCCUUUAGAAAAGCAAUAUGCCACCUAAAUGUGUGUUUUUAUUACUUUCUCUAUUAUAAGUAAAAAUAUUGUAAUACCAUCUGACGAUCCACCAGCUGUCUGCGCAAACGGUGGGUGCUGUUCCAGGGAAGUUGGGCUGUGGGUGUGGGACCGCUAUCUGGGGAGGGCACUCUUGGAUUUCUGCUGAGACUGGCCCCACAUAUGCCAGGCCACAUGUUCCUGGGCUGGGAGCGGAUAAUUGUGCCCAUUUAUCUUAUGAUAGCUGAAAGUGCAAACACUAUAAAAGAGCGCAGUAGUGGUGGAAGGAUGGAGGAGUGGGGUGCACACCAGCUCUGGAAGCAGCAAGGUGGAUGCAGCCCUGGCCAGUACUGGGGGUUUGGGGGAAGAAAUGACAUGGCUAUGGCCUGGGAAGGGACACAGGGAGAUGGGUCACAGCCCCCUCCCCAUCCUGAUACCAGUGUCUGAGUUUUCCAGGUAGAAAUCAACACCUGAGGAUCUGGUGGGCCAGGGACAGUGGUAGGUCCCUUCUUGUCAAACAAAUCUAUGGCUAACAGUAUUCAGGAGACACAUACUGAUGCCGAAGUAUGGGAAACUUGACAAUUUCUCAGUCUGGACCAGAAGUGGCCAUGCAGGCUGAAUCUGCCCAACAGGUCCAGACAUCUGGCAACUCUGGGAGCAGGAGCUGGGCUGCGUCACACUCUUACCAAUCCUAGGAAACCCCAGGGAACUCAGGAUGCCCCUGGAAUACACUCAGCCCUCAUGCUCCCACUUAUCUGAGGGGUGACCUUGAGCUCCCUGGGACAGGGAAGGGCUGGGCCCCCAGAAGAGGGCCAGUGGGUGGUCAAUUUCCAGGUUCCCUGGGUGUUCCAGGUCCUCUUGCUCCUUGUCACCAAGGCAGCAUCAUCUGUGUGAAUGUGACACACCAGGAUGGAUAUUUCAUCUCUCUCGUUCCCGCUGUCUCCCCGGCCCUGGCACACAGUACAGCAGGGGGCUCUCUUCCACUCAUAUAUGCAGCCAACCUCACCAACCUACAAGAUCUCUGUGGCCAUGUGAGUCUGUGGCUCUGCUCUUCCCCUCAAACAACCAUUUUACAAGGGAGAAGACUGAUAUCCCAGCUGUACCUUGCAGGGUGGAGACAGGUGGGAAGUGACCCAGGUCCAAGCCUCCACUGAGCCCCUCAGGCCAGCGAUCACCCCCUCCCCAGCCUCACCAUCCUUCAUGAAGUCCAGACUUUGGGCAUUACCCCAUCCCCCAGGAUAAAGCCAACUCAGGGCCUGACCUGCCCAGAAGGCUCGGGGGUCCAGCCAUGCUGGCAGAGGGCUGAAGAGAGUGGCAGGUGGAGAAGCCAGGGGAAGGGGAGUGGGGCGCUAUGGAAAAGGGGCCUGGCCGAUCACUUUGAUGUUCAGACCAUGAAACUUCUCAAAUUAUAAGAGAGAAUCACUUUUGAGCCUUUAAGUGGCUCCGAAUAAACCAACUGUCCAAAGAUACAAUGAAAAACCGUCACCAGCUCUCAGUAACAAGGCAGGAAAAAUUGUCAGUGCUGCGAUGAAUAUUAAAAGCCCCAUCUGUGAAAAACACCCUGGAAAUAUGUCUCAGAGGAGCCAGGCGGGAGGUGCUGGAGAGGCUGGCCGCCUAGAGGCCCCCACCCAGGGCAGGGCAGGCAGUGGGAGAGGAGACAGGCACCCGGGGAGCUGCGGGUGGCAUCCAUCCGAGAGCAGAGCCAACCCACCUGGGCUACAGGUAUGGAGGUCCUGGGCCCCCCCGCACGAGGCAGCCCCAAGAAGGGGGAGGCCAGCCCCCCACUUACUGUGCCCUCUGCCAGGGAUGGCAGGAGACAGGAGCUUAUCCCCACCCUCCCACCACAGCCGGGCCCUGCCUGAGAAGAGGUGACCACGUUAGACCCUGCCAGCCCCAGGAGACCCUGGAACCAUCCAGCCCCGGCUCUGCCACUUCCUCUUCAGGAGCCUUUGGCCACCUCACCCCCUCUGUGGACCUUGGUUUCCUGGACAGGGCUGGGUGGGGGGCUGAAAGUUCGGGGGGAUGUUGCCCCCCAUAGAAAGCAGAGGGGACCGUGUGAAAUGCCCAGGCCUGGACCCCAGGGACAUAGGCUCCUGCUAGGGUCGGGGCAGGAAGAAGGGAGGGGGCCAUAAAGGAGAAGCCCCCCGGAUACCUUCUGGGCCCAGUAUCCAUAUCCUGGGGCCCUCCUGCCCUGUACCUUGCACGCACCCCUGGCUCCUCCAUGGCUGCCCACCCCGACCACAUCAUCUCUCCCUGCAGCCGUGGCCCCCGCCCCCCAGCUUGGUGCCUGGUUGGGGUUGGGGGCAGCAGAAGGGGUCUGGCUGCUGCUCAGAACCACCACAGAGGAAGGAGGCCAUAGGUCCCCACGUUCAGGGUGCUAAAAGCUAGUGACACUUGGGCUCCGUCGCACACAGGCCUGCUAAUGACACCUGGGCCACAGGUCUUGAAUGGACACUUGGGAAAGGUGGGCCAGCCGUACCCCUGCUCUUAUGCAGGGCCACCCACUGAGGAGGUCCCUCCCAGGCCCAGCUGCUUCUUUGGGCUCUCUGAGGGGUGGUGGAGGGGAGGAGUCCCUGCUCUGCCCGAGUCUGCCUUCCCAGCCCUGGGCAGUGGGGAUCUACAAAGCUGUUUGCAUGAGUGGCAUUUCUCAGCAGCAAUCCCAGGUGGUCCCACAGACCACCCUAUCCCCAGGAGAACCAAGAGCCAGAGAAGGGGCCAGGAAGCUGCAGCAAAGAGGCUGCUGCUCAGGUCACCUGGCAGGGAUGCAGGGGAUUCCAGGCUGAGACCCAGGCUCCUCGCUUCUGGACAAGAGGCCCAGAAGCACAGUGCCCUGCCCAGGACCAGAGCCCUCCCCAGCUCUGCAGCCCACUCCCCCUCUGAGGACCCAGAAGAGCAGGGCAGGCACCGAGGUUCUGGAGCCCAGUGCAGGCCGAAGCCACCACCUCAUGUUGUCCUCCAGCUGCCUUCCUUGUAAUUAAGAGCAAACUUUGUAGCAAUGUCUCCUUUAGCUGUUGUCUUACCCCGCCUCCCAAAUGAUAAAUUGUUAAUGAGCACCUGUUACAAUGCUAAUGAAAGUGAGAUCCGUAUGUAAAUAAAGAAAAUUUAAUAACUUAA